rnacentral:miRNA from 1 species
CCAGAGCACAGGCUGGGCUGGGCUGGGGACUGGAUGGCUCCAUCAGCUCUGUUCCC